CCCGGAUCCAGCUCUACCUGGCUUGCUCUUCCGGCCAGAACAGCGGCAUCAGCAGGAUCUAUUCCUGGACCUGAACCUCAAGUCCCAGGUCGCCAGUUUUACCGGUUACCUCAUCCUCGUCUCCAUGAACUAGAGCAAGGGAAGCAGUAGGUGCAUGUGAAAAUGCGUUGAUAUUCGGCCAGGCCAACUACUACAAACUGCUCACCAAGGUUCCAAGCACAAGCAGAUAAUCCAUCUGUCAGUGCUCCAGGAAUGACCUCCUAGAUACUUGCAUGAUGUAUUUGGAGCCUGCUAAGUUUGUCGCAAAGCUGAGCGAACUGAAAAUGGAUGGAAGAUCCUGCUAUUCAAGUGCAAUCUCGGUGUUGGGUACUUCUCCAACUCGGGAAGUUUCGAGAAAUUGCAAGACGCUGUCACUUAUGCCUUCAUCCUCAAGUCAGUUGCCCUUUUUUAGGGGAUUUCUGAAGCAGCAGCGAUUCUGUCAAGUGAUGCUUAUAAUGUUAUUCUAUAUUUGGUGUUUUACUCUUUGAGCUGACCUGCAGGUACCUAUGGUUU